AUCCAUCUGUCGAGUCCCUAAUAGGCCGAAACGCGCGUCCUGCAU
rnacentral:hammerhead_ribozyme from 1 species